rnacentral:misc_RNA from 1 species
AAGUCGUAACAAGGUAACCGUAGGUGAACCUGCGGUUGGAUCAUUAAUGUAUAAAUCUCAUUAAUGGUUGAACUAUUCUUUCGAGAGUAGUUCACCAACACCCCAAAAAUUAUCUUGCUUCAAUUAUUUUGUCAUUUAGUCCUAGUCAGUUUCAUUUAGAAUGGGUAUGAAAGUACCUUUAAUAAGUCCAAUUGACUAGUGCUAAUAAUAAUAUAAACAUUUUAUUAUCUAUUUUAUUCAAGUUAUCUAUUAAAAAGAUAAAACAACUUUUGACAAUGGAUCUCUUGGCUCUC